rnacentral:rRNA from 1 species
AGUGAACGCUGGCGGCGGGCCUAACACAUGCAAGUCGAACGGCAGCACAGUAAGAGCUUGCUCUUACGGGUGGCGAGUGGCGGACGGGUGAGGAAUAUAUCGGAAUCUACUUUUUCGUGGGGGAUAACGUAGGGAAGGUUACGCUAAUACCGCAUAUGACCUACGGGUGAAAGCAGGGGAUCUUUGGAGCUUGCGCGAUUGAAUGAGCCGAUGUCGGAUUAGCUAGUUGGCGGGGUAAAGGCCCACCAAGGCGAGGAUCCGUAGCUGGUCUGAGAGGAUGGGCAGCCACACUGGAACUGAGACACGGUCCAGACUCCUACGGGAGGCACCAGUAGGGAAUAUUGAGCAAUGGGCGGAAGACUGAUCCAGCCAUACCGCGUGGGUGAAGAAGGCCUUCGGGUUGUAAAGCCCUUUUGUUGGGAAAGAAAAGCAGCAGGUUAAUACCCCGCUGUUCUGACGGUACCCAAAGAAUAAGCACCGGCUAACUUCGUG